CUCAGGAUGAACGCUAGCUAACAGGCUUAACACAUGCAAGUCGAGGGAACGACAUCAAAAGCUUGCUUUUGAUGGGCGUCGACCGGCGCACGGGUGAGUAACGCGUAUCCAACCUGCCCACCACUUGGGGAUAACCUUGCGAAAGUAAGACUAAUACCCGAUGAUAUCUCUAGACGACAUCUGAAAGGGNUUAAAGAUUUAUCGGUGAUGGAUGGGGAUGCGUCUGAUUAGCUUGUUGGCGGGUAACGGCCCACCAAGGCAACGAUCAGUAGGGGUUCUGAGAGGAAGGUCCCCCACAUUGGAACUGAGACACGGUCCAAACUCCUACGGGAGGCAGCAGUGAGGAAUAUUGGUCAAUGGGCGAGAGCCUGAACCAGCCAAGUAGCGUGCAGGACGACGGCCCUAUGGGUUGUAAACUGCUUUUAUAAGGGAAUAAAGUGAGUCUCGUGAGACUUUUUGCAUGUACCUUAUGAAUAAGGACCGGCUAAUUCCGUG
rnacentral:rRNA from 1 species